rnacentral:rRNA from 1 species
UACGAAGGGGGCUAGCGUUGCUCGGAAUUACUGGGCGUAAAGCGCACGUAGGCGGCUUCUUAAGUCGGUGGUGAAAUCUUGGAGCUCAACUCCAGAACUGCCUUCGAUACUGGGAGCUCGAGUCCGGGAGAGGUGAGUGGAACUGCGAGUGUAGAGGUGAAAUUCGUAGAUAUUCGCAAGAACACCAGUGGCGAAGGCGGCUCACUGGCCCGGUACUGACGCUGAGGUGCGAAAGCGUGGGGAGCAAACAGG